AGAGUUUGAUCCUGGCUCAGAUUGAACGCUGGCGGCGUGCCUAACACAUGCAAGUCGAGCGGUAACAGGUGUAGCAAUACAUGCUGACGAGCGGCGAACGGGUGAGUAAUGCUUCGGAAUCUACCCAAUGGCGGGGAAUAACUAGCCGAAAGGUUAGCUAAUACCGCAUAAGCCCUACGGGGGAAAGCAGGGGAUCGUAAGACCUUGCACCGAUGGAUGAGCCGAAGCCGGAUUAGCUAGUUGGUAGGGUAACGGCCUACCAAGGCGACGAUCCGUAGCUGGUCUGAGAGGACGACCAGCCACACUGGGACUGAGACACGGCCCAGACUCCUACGGGAGGCAGCAGUGGGGAAUAUUGGACAAUGGGGGCAACCCCGAUCCAGCGACGCCGCGUGUGUGAAGAAGGCCUGCGGGUUGUAAAGCACUUUUAGUGGGGAUGAAAAGUUCAGGGCUAAUACCUCUGGAUCUUGACCUAACCCAAAGAAAAAGCACCGGCUAACUCUGUGCCAGCAGCCGCGGUAAUACAGAGGGUGCAAGCGUUAAUCGGAAUUACUGGGCGUAAAGCGUGCGUAGACGGUUAUGUAAGUCGGGUGUGAAAGCCCCGGGCUCAACCUGGGAAUUGCAUUCGAGACUGUGUAGCUAGGGUACGGAAGAGGGAAGCGGAAUUUCAGGUGUAGCGGUGAAAUGCGUAGAUAUCUGAAGGAACACCAGUGGCGAAAGCGGCUUCCUGGUCCAGUACCGACGUUCAGGCACGAAAGCGUGGGGAGCAAACAGGAUUAGAUACCCCCGUAGUCC
rnacentral:rRNA from 1 species